rnacentral:ncRNA from 2 species
CUCUUAUGAAGAGAGGUGGAGGGACUGGCCCUGUGAAGCCUCGGCAACCAUUGAAUAUAUUUUAUAUUCAAACGGUGCCAAUUCCAGCAGACUUUUGUUCGAAGUCUGACAGAUAAGGG